rnacentral:rRNA from 1 species
AUUGAACGCUGGCGGCAGGCCUAACACAUGCAAGUCGAACGGUAACAGGGAUCAGCUUGCUGAUUCGCUGACGAGUGGCGGACGGGUGAGUAAUGUCUGGGAAACUGCCUGAUGGAGGGGGAUAACUGCUGGAAACGGUAGCUAAUACCGCAUAACGUCGCAAGACCAAAGAGGGGGACCUUCGGGCCUCUUGCCAUCGGAUGUGCCCAGAUGGGAUUAGCUAGUAGGUGGGGUAACGGCUCACCUAGGCGACGAUCCCUAGCUGGUCUGAGAGGAUGACCAGCCACACUGGAACUGAGACACGGUCCAGACUCCUACGGGAGGCAGCAGUGGGGAAUAUUGCACAAUGGGCGCAAGCCUGAUGCAGCCAUGCCGCGUGUAUGAAGAAGGCCUUCGGGUUGUAAAGUACCUUCAGCGGGGAGGAAGGGAGUAAAGUUAAUACCUUUGCUCAUUGACGUUACCCGCAGAAGAAGCACCGGCUAACUCCGUG